UACUCUGCUCGCUGCUGUCUCACACUCUCUCUCUCCCCUCCCUUUUCGUCUCUCUCAGAUCCGCGACCACUCCCAUUUCCCCCAAAAAUCAUCGCGAGCGCGCGACCCAACCACCGCCUACUGGUCGCCGCCGCCGCCGCCGCCGGUGAGGAGUAGGAGGAGGAGGAAGCUUCGGUCGGUUGGUUGUCGGGUGGGGGUGGGGCGGAGAUGGAGGCGGCGCUGGAGGCGGCGCGCGCCAAGGACACGAAGCAGCGGCUGGCCGGGGUGGAGCGGCUCCACGAGGCGCUGGAGGCCGCGGCGAGGCGAGGGCUGACGUCGGCCGAGGUGACGUCGCUGGUCGACGCCUGCAUGGAUCUGACCAAGGACGGCAACUUCCGCGUCGCCCAGGGCGGCCUGCAGGCGCUCUCCGCCGCCGCGGUGCUCGCCGGCGACCACUUCAAGAUCCACCUCAACGCCCUCGUGCCCGCCGCCGUCGAGCGGCUGGGCGACGGCAAGCAGCCCGUCCGAGACGCCGCCAGGCAGCUGCUUGUCACCCUCAUGGAGGUUUCAUCACCGACAAUCAUUGUUGAAAGAGCUGGAAGUUAUGCAUGGACUCACAAGAGCUGGAGGGUGCGGGAAGAAUUUGUACGCACUGUUGCAACAGCUGUUGGCCUCUUUGCUUCUACAGAGCUCCCUCUACAGCGAGUGUUGCUUUCACCUGUCCUGCAAUUGCUGAACGAUUUGAAUCAAAGUGUUAGAGACGCUGCAAUCUCAUGUAUUGAGGAGAUGUAUAGAAACAUGGGAUCUCAAUUCCAUGAAGAGUUGCAGCGCCAUAAUCUGCCUUCUUACAUGCUGAAGGACAUAAAUUCAAGAUUGGAUAAAAUAGAACCAAAGGCUCGCUCAUCUGAUGGUGCUAGAAUGCAAUAUAAGGUUAUUGAAAGAUCUGUAAGUGCUAAUGCAAAAAGAGGCAGUCCAAGGAAAAAAAGUUCAACAAGGGAAAGCACAUUAUUUGGAGGUGACUCAGAUAUUACCGAAAAACCAGUGGAACCCAUAAGAGUACAUUCAGAGAAAGAAUUACUUAGGGAGAUGGAGAAGAUUGCAUCUGCCCUUGAUCCAGAAAAGGACUGGUCUAUACGUAUUGCCGCAAUGCAAAGGAUUGAAGCCUUGGUAUAUGGAGGUGCAAUUGAUUAUCCAUCAUUUCUUACGCUCCUGAAGCAGCUAGUUCCUCCCUUAUCUGCUCAGCUGUCUGACCGACGGUCUAGCAUAGUAAAACAGGCAUGCCAUCUACUUAAUAUGCUAUCAAAAGAACUCCUUGGUGAUUUUGAAGCAUGUGCUGAAAUAUUUAUUCCGGUACUUUUCAAGCUUGUUGUGAUAACUGUGCUUGUUAUUGCUGAAUCCGCCGACAACUGCAUAAAAACUAUCCUGCGGAACUGCAAGGUUUCACGUAUUCUUCCACUUAUAGCUGACACGGCAAAGAAUGAUCGCAGCGCUAUCCUUCGUGCUAGAUGUAGUGAGUAUGCCAUCCUAAUAUUGGAAUAUUGGGCAGAUGCUCCUGAAAUACAGCGUGCAUCUGAUAUAUACGAAGAUCUAAUAAAAUGCUGUGUGGCUGAUGCAAUGAGUGAGGUCCGUGCAACUGCAAGAUCUUGCUAUAGGAUGUUCACCAAGACAUGGCCUGAGCGCUCACGUCGGCUUUUUAUGUCAUUUGAUCCUGCAGUACAAAGGAUAAUAAAUGAUGAAGACGGGGGCCUGCAGAAACGGUAUCCUUCUCCAUCAUUGCGUGAGAAGGGUGUCCAACUUUCUCAUGCUUCAUCUCAUGCAAGUGGUACACAUUUAGCCGGAUACAGCACUUCAGCUAUUGUUGCGAUGGACAAGAGUGCAGCUAUUUCUUCUGAAUCAUCUCUUUCGUCAAGAAGUCUUCUGUCGCAGUCAAAGAAAAUAGGUAGAACUGCUGAAAGAAGCAUAGAGAGCGUUCUCAGUUCAAGUAAACAAAAGGUUUCUGCCAUUGAAAGUUUAUUGAAGGGUGUAAGCGGCCGGCAAAAUUUCUCAGCUAUGCGCUCAACAAGCUUGGAUCUUGUGCAGGAGUUGAUCCUCCAUCCUCUCGUGAUCCUCCUAUCCCACUUGCUGCAACUGCUUCGGACCAUCUGUCUUUGCAGAAUUCCAUAUUGCUGGAUUCAUCCCUGCCAAGCAUUAAUAACACAAGAAAUGGUGGUUCACGCUUGGUAGAUACAGUGAACCCUCAUGUGGCCAAUAAAGAGAGGUCAAGGUCACCAUAUUUGAGUAGUCUGUCGUCUGAAUCAAUAUCAGGAUCGUCACUGCCUUAUGCGAGAAGCUCUUCUGGGAGGUCUCCAUAUGGUAGCACUAUGGAAGAGAGUAAUGAUACAUGGUCAACCAGGCGGAUGCCACAAAUGCAGAUGGACAGACACUAUCUUGAUAUGACCUAUAGGGAUGCCAGCCACAGAAAUUUACACAAUCACCAAGUUCCACACUUCCAGAGGCCUCUUAGGAAGCAAGUGGCAUCAAGGACAUCUGCAAGUUCGAGACACAGUUUUGAUGAUGGCCAUAUCUCAUCUAAUGACAUGUCGCGAUACACAGAUGGUCCAACUUCUAUAAGCGAUGCACUCUCUGGGGGUCUUAGUGCAAGUUCAGACUGGGUAGCUAGAGUUACAGCCUUUAAUUUUAUUCAGACACUACUGCAACAAGGACAGAAAGGCAUUCAAGAAGUUAUGCAGAAUUUUGAAAAGGUCAUGAAGUUAUUUUUCCGUUAUUUGGAUGAUCCUCAUCACAAAGUUGCACAGGCAGCUUUCUCUACACUUGCAGAUAUUAUUCCAGCUUGCAAGAAGCAAUUUGAGAGCUAUGUUGAAAGAAUUUUACCGUAUGUAUUUUCAAGACUUAUUGAUCCAAAGGAAUUAGUUAGGCAACCAUGUUCAUCAACCUUGGAAGUUGUUGGCCGCACAUAUCCCAUUGACACAUUGCUACCUGCUCUAGUACGUUCACUGGAUGAACAAAGGUCUCCAAAAGCAAAACUGGCUGUUCUUGAGUUUGCUAAUAAGUCAUUCAGCAGGUACAAAGUAGACUCAGAAGGUUAUAGUAACAGUGGCUUUCUUAAGCUAUGGCUUUCAAAGCUAGCACCUUUAAUACAUGAAAAGAAUGCAAAGUUGAAGGAAACUUCCAUUUCUGGAAUCAUAGCAGUUUAUUCUCAUUUUGACUCAACAGCGGUUCUAAAUUUUAUUUUAAAUUUGUCUAUUGAAGAACAAAACCUUGUGAGGCGAGCACUGAAGCAAUAUACUCCUCGUAUCGAGGUCGAUCUGGUAAAUUACUUGCAGAGCAAAAAAGAACGUUCACGUCCCAAAUCUUAUGACCAAGUUGAUUUUGGAAAUUCUUCUGAAGAUGGUUAUGCACUGACACCAAAGAGUAGUUAUGCAUUUGGGCGGUUUUCUGCUAGUUCCCUUGAUAAUGCAUCAGGGAAGAAGAUGAAUAUGGUUCAUGGAUCAAUAUUCCUUGAUAUUUCUACUGGCCGAACAUCCUCUGAUGUCAGCAUUGAUAAUGUUAAGCAAUGUUUCAAACCUGAAGCUGAAGUUCUUGCAACAAGUAGGGAAUCAAAGAACAUUGCUCGCACAGUUGUAGAAGCUGCACGUUCAUGGACAGACUAUCCUGGAAAAUCAGAUGCUACCAUUGAUGAUGAAAAUUCUACUGGUACUCCUCGUCUGGAGUUUGGUCGUCUUGCUGUUUCUGAUGGACGUGGUGCUGUUAUUUCAACUUCUGUGGAAGACGCUCAAGAGGGAAAUCCACUUGUGGAGCUUAGUUCUGUGAAGAUUACCCCACACACCAGUAAUGGCCCUAGCAUCCCACAACUUAUUCAUCAGAUAAGCAAUGUCAGUGAAGUUACUAGUCUAGACAAGCGGGAGGCAUUACAACAGUUGGUUACAGCUUCCACCAAUAAUGACAACUCUAUAUGGACUAAGUAUUUCAAUCAAAUUUUAACAACCAUCCUUGAGGUGUUGGAUGACUCGGAUUCUUCUAUCAGGGAGCUUUCUCUAUCGUUAGUUGCUGAGAUGCUCCACAACCAGAAAGAUCCUAUGGAAGAAUCCAUUGAGAUUGUCCUUGAAAAGCUCCUACAUGUGACCAAGGAUGUCGUGGCGAAGGUUUCAAAUGAAGCAAACCAGUGCUUAAAUGUCGUGUUGGCAAAAUAUGAUCCUUUUAGAUGCCUUGCUGUUAUUGUACCUUUGUUGGUUAGUGAUGAUGAAAAGAUGCUUGUCGUGUGUACCAACUGUUUGACAAAGCUUGUUGGACGCCUAUCAGAGGAGGAAUUAAUGACUCAACUGCCUUCAUUUUUACCAGCACUUUUUGAUGCUUUCAAUAACCAGAGUCCAGAUGUUCGCAAGACUGUUGUAUUCUGCUUGGUGGAUAUCUACAUUAUGCUUGGGAAAGCAUUUGUACCAUAUCUAGAGGGGCUUAAUAGCACGCAGCUGCGCCUAGUAACAAUCUAUGCAAACAGGAUAUCACAGGCAAGGUCUGGUGCACCGAUUGAUGCUAACCACUAGAUCAUAUUGUUUUGUGUAUCAUAUGGGUAUCUCUUUGGAUGAGCUGGUUUCAUUCAUUCGAUCUGUAUAUAACAGACAGAUGCCGUUCAUGUAUUGAGCAGUUGGCUUUUCGUGUGUGUAUGUAUUCCUUUUAUUUUUGUUUCCUUUUCCCCUUGUGUGCAGAGGCAUUGAGUUAUGCGUUAACUUGUACUACCAUCACACUGUACAAAGAUAACAGGAUGUAGCUGACUGUUUUCCCUUGUUUACCUGAGGGGUUUGUUGGUGGGCAUAUCCUUGUGCUGUAAACAUUGGGUGUGCCGGAAACAGAGAAUUUGCUCAACAGAUCCUUGAAUGGUUUUGCUUA